AUUAGUUUGACUUCCCAGCUAGCGAGUGUGCGGUCGCAUACUCGGUAGCCUUACCUAACCCUAUUCUUUUUUUGAUUCCCCGUUGCACCGAGUACGCAGUUGUUUGUUCAAGUUUUCUGCUGCUUGGGGACUUGGUGCGAAUUGAUAAAAACUUGUUAUGGGAUGUUUUAGGUAAAUUAAUGAUGCCGUUGCGUGGGUUUGGGCCCCUUGUGAAAACAUGUCCGGGCGACUUUGAGCGGAACUCACCCUGGGUUCGCCACGGGGUCCAGCUCAGUCGCUUCUGAAAUGUUCUCAGUACCAGCAGGCCCUCUUGUAAUGGCAGAUCAACGACUGCAUGGUUAUGUUUGUCAUACAACCAACCAUUUGUUUGACAGUAAAAGCAAUGCAGUACAAUU
rnacentral:telomerase_RNA from 1 species